ensembl:snRNA U4 U4 spliceosomal RNA
AGCUUUGCGCAGUGGCAGUAUCGUAGCCAAUGAGGUUUAUCCGAGGCGCGAUUAUUGCUAAUUAAAAUGGGAUAAUAACAGCACCCGUCUCCCAGGGCGAGCCUGCCUACCUCCCUGGCAGAGACUGUCUGGGCCUUCCCUGAAU